GGGAGUACGCCCGCAAGGGUGAUACUCAAAGUAAUUGACGGGGGCCCGCACAAGCGGUGGAGCAUGUGGUUUAAUUCGAUGAUACGCGAAGAACCUUACCUGGGCUUGAACUGUACCCGACAGGUGUAGAGAUACACCCUCCUUCGGGCGGGUAUAGAGGUGCUGCAUGGUUGUCGUCAGCUCGUGUCGUGAGAUGUUGGGUUAAGUCCCGCAACGAGCGCAACCCUUACCCCUUGUUGCCAUCAGGUAAUGCUGAGCACUCUAGGGGAACUGCCGGUGACAAACCGGAGGAAGGUGGGGAUGACGUCAAAUCAUCACGGCCCUUAUGUCCAGGGCUACACACGUGCUACAAUGGCCGGUACAAAGAGUUGCGAUACCGCGAGGUGGAGCUAAUCUCAAAAAACCGGUCUCAGUUCAGAUUGUAGUCUGCAACUCGACUGCAUGAAGCUGGAAUCGCUAGUAAUCGCGGAUCAGCACGCCGCGGUGAUACGUUCCCGGGCCUUGUACACACCGCCCGUCACACCACCCGAGUUGGCAGCACCCGAAGUGGCUGAUCUAACCGCAAGGAGGAAGGUUACUAAGGUGAAGCUG
rnacentral:rRNA from 1 species